rnacentral:rRNA from 1 species
AACGUAGGAGGCGAGCGUUAUCCGGAAUCACUGGGCGUAAAGGGCAAGUAGGCGGGCGCCAAAGUUGGGCGUGACAGAUCUCGGCUUAACCGAGAAAGGUCGUCCAAAACUAGGGGUCUAGAGAGCAGGAGAGGAAGGCGGAACUCCUAGUGUAGCAGUGGAAUGCUUAGAUAUUAGGAGGAACACCAGUGGCGAAAGCGGCCUUCUGGCCUGUGUCUGACGCUGAGAGGCGAAAGCUAGGGUAGCAAACGGG